UGUCUCCUCAAAAAUGGAAUGACUUCUUGAGAGGCUAACACAGAAGGGAAAAGGAAAUCUCCAUAAAACCCAGAGAAGAGCUUAUAAAACUUCCCUGGAUUUUUUUUUGGGGGGGAGGG
rnacentral:snoRNA from 1 species